GACGAACGCUGGCGGCGUGCUUAACACAUGCAAGUCGAACGGAAAGGCCCUGCUUUUGUGGGGUGCUCGAGUGGCGAACGGGUGAGUAACACGUGAGUAACCUGCCCUUGACUUUGGGAUAACUUCAGGAAACUGGGGCUAAUACCGGAUAGGAGCUCCUGCUGCAUGGUGGGGGUUGGAAAGUUUCGGCGGUUGGGGAUGGACUCGCGGCUUAUCAGCUUGUUGGUGGGGUAGUGGCUUACCAAGGCUUUGACGGGUAGCCGGCCUGAGAGGGUGACCGGCCACAUUGGGACUGAGAUACGGCCCAGACUCCUACGGGAGGCAGCAGUGGGAAUAUUGCACAAUGGGCGGAAGCCUGAUGCAGCAACGCCGCGUGCGGGAUGACGGCCUUCGGGUUGUAAACCGCUUUCGCCUAUGACGAAGCGUGAGUGACGGUAAUGGGUAAAGAAGCACCGGCUAACUACGUG
rnacentral:rRNA from 1 species